ACGGGAGGCAGCAGUGAGGAAUCUUGCGCAAUGGGCGAAAGCCUGACGCAGCCACGCCGCGUGCCGGAUGAAGGCCCUAUGGGUUGUAAACGGCUUUUAAGCAGGAAGAACGACCGGAUUUCGAUCUGGUGUGACGGUACUGCUUGAAUAAGCACCGGCUAACUCCGUGCCAGCAGCCGCGGUAAUACGGAGGGUGCAAGCGUUGUCCGGAAUCAUUGGGUGUAAAGGGUGCGUAGGCGGGCGUCUAAGUCUGGGGUGAAAUCUUGCCGCUUAACGGUAAAAUGGCCUUGGAUACUGGGCGUCUUGAGUGUAGAAGAGGUAAGUGGAAUUCGUAGUGUAGCGGUGAAAUGCAUAGAUAUUACGAAGAACAUCAGUGGCGAAGGCGGCUUACUGGUCUACAACUGACGCUGAGGCACGAAAGCGUGGGGAGCGAACAGGAUUAGAUACCCUGGUAGUCCACGCUGUAAACGAUGCAUACUAGGUGUUGGCCUUUCGGGGCCAGUGCUGCAGUUAACGCAUUAAGUAUGCCACCUGGGGAGUACGUCGGCAACGAUGAAACUCAAAGGAAUUGACGG
rnacentral:rRNA from 1 species